UGGGGAAUAUUGGACAAUGGGCGCAAGCCUGAUCCAGCAAUGCCGCGUGUGUGAAGAAGGCCUUCGGGUUGUAAAGCACUUUAGGUUGGGAAGAAAAAACUCGGGCGAAUAUCCCGAGUCUUGACGGUACCGACAGAAUAAGCACCGGCUAACUCUGUGCCAGCAGCCGCGGUAAUACAGAGGGUGCUAGCGUUAAUCGGAUUUACUGGGCGUAAAGCGUGCGUAGGCGGUUUGUUAAGUCGGUUGUGAAAGCCCCGGGCUCAACCUGGGAAUUGCAGUCGAUACUGGCAGACUAGAGAACGGUAGAGGGAGGCGGAACUCCAGGUGUAGCGGUGAAAUGCGUAGAUAUCCGGAAGAACACCGAUGGCGAAGGCAACCUCCUGGGCCUGUUCUGACGCUGAGGCACGAAAGCGUGGGUAGCAAACAGGAUUAGAUACCCGUGUAGUCC
rnacentral:rRNA from 1 species